rnacentral:lncRNA from 1 species
CCCGACCCUCAAUGGUCAACUAUUUCUCUCUUCUCUCUUUGGAUGCACACCCCAAAACUUGAUUUUGUAACUAUUUUCCCAAUGUGUGAUUUAUGGUUAAAUUUCUAUACUAUUACUCACCCUCUCUAGUUUGGUUAGAUUUUACUAAUUGUAGCUCAACAUAUCAAUAAAUGAGGAUUCUCCUUAAUUUUGACUGAUACAACCUCCAAGAAUCAACUAAGCUACUAAUCCCUUAUCAAAGGUCUAAUUCUCUAAAAUAAGUGUUUGAGACUUAAUCAAGGCAUAUAGUGCGUCUUCUUUUUCAUGCACCUGCUUUUUUCAAGUUUACCGUGCGUAUUCUGUUUCAUGCACUAGCCUAUCUCUUUUUAUGUAUAUAAUUGUCCUCAUUGGGCUCUUUUAGGGUAGCUUCACAACAUGUCAGCUUUUUCCCUUCUAUGCAAUGAUUAGUGCAAUGCCCCUCAUUAAACACUUAUUCUUGAAAAUCGAUCUUUAACUUAAGAUUUUCACCUAAUUAUCAUCUCAUUGGUCUUAA